ACUCCUACGGGAGGCAGCAGUGGGGAAUAUUGCACAAUGGGGGAAACCCUGAUGCAGCCAUGCCGCGUGUGUGAAGAAGGCCUUCGGGUUGUAAAGCACUUUCAGCGAGGAGGAAAGGUUGGCAGCUAAUAUCUGUCAGCUGUGACGUUACUCGCAGAAGAAGCACCGGCUAACUCCGUGCCAGCAGCCGCGGUAAUACGGAGGGUGCAGGCGUUAAUCGGAAUUACUGGGCGUAAAGCGCACGCAGGCGGUUGGAUAAGUUAGAUGUGAAAGCCCCGGGCUCAACCUGGGAAUUGCAUUUAAAACUGUUCAGCUAGAGUCUUGUAGAGGGGGGUAGAAUUCCAGGUGUAGCGGUGAAAUGCGUAGAGAUCUGGAGGAAUACCGGUGGCGAAGGCGGCCCCCUGGACAAAGACUGACGCUCAGGUGCGAAAGCGUGGGGAGCAAACAGGAUUAGAUACCCUGGUAGUCCACGCCGUAAACGAUGUCGAUUUGGAGGCUGUGUCCUUGAGACGUGGCUUCCGGAGCUAACGCGUUAAAUCGACCGCCUGGGGAGUACGGCCGCAAGGUUAAAACUCAAAUGAAUUGACGGGGGCCCGCACAAGCGGUGGAGCAUGUGGUUUAAUUCGAUGCAACGCGAAGAACCUUACCUGGCCUUGACAUGUCUGGAAUCCUGUAGAGAUACGGGAGUG
rnacentral:rRNA from 1 species